rnacentral:rRNA from 1 species
UACGUAGGUGGCAAGCGUUGUCCGGAUUUAUUGGGCGUAAAGCGCGCGCAGGCGGCCAGGUAGGUCAGCUGUGAAAACUCGAGGCUUAACCUCGAGAUGUCGGCUGAAACCAUCUGGCUAGAGUCCGGAAGAGGAGAAUGGGAUUCCCGGUGUAGCGGUGAAAUGCGCAGAUAUCGGGAAGAACACCCGUCGCGAAGGCGGUUCUCUGGGACGGUACUGACGCUGAGACGCGAAAGCGUGGGGAGCGAACAGGAUUAGAUACCCUGGUAGUCCACGCCGUAAACGAUGGGUGCUAGGUGUGGGCGGUGUCGACUCCGUCCGUGCAGAAGCUAACGCAUUAAGCACCCCGCCUGGGGAGUACGGCCGCAAGGCUA